ensembl:lncRNA
AUUUGGUUAACUGCUACUCUUCCUAAGUAAAACCAUAUAGGAAAGGGAAUUUGAAAACUGAAUCACUUUAUGAAUAUGCCUGCCCUAAGAAGAGGUAGUAACAAAGCUUAUCAGAGCACAGAAGUAUUGAGGAGGAGCUCCUGGCGCCUGCUUCCCUUAGCCCUUCUGCUGGAGUCCAGGUGCAGAAUCUGUUCCAUAGAGGAAAUCUCUCUGUCAGCAGACAGAGGCAGUAAUGACAUAUACGAACACAACAGUGAAAUGAAAGAGCAGCUCAUCAAGAGCACUUUGGGUUCCUGGAGAAACUUCCCACAGUGCAAAAGAGUUUCUAAGCUGUCCUGAAGAAAAAGACAAACUUGGGAGGAGCAGAAGAUCCCUUGCUUGCUGUUGGUCUUCAUUGUCAGAGCCAGUUUCUGGAAGAUCUGAAAUCUCUUCUGACAGACCCACUGGGAUCUCUGGUGGCUUGGCUGCUGAGUAGGCACAUUGAAGAAAAUCAAAAACUAUGUCUUCUGUUUGGGCCUAAAAUGUGGCUGUGUCCAACCACCAGCUCUCCAGGAAAGUUCCUCUUCAGAGGAGAGACCAUUGAAGCCAAGGAGUGGGAAAUGUGCUGGAGAGGAUGUGCUCCCUUGGGCAAAGCAAAGCAGUGUGCAGCUACUUUUCUGUUUCCUCCUUGUUGGACCCUCUCUGCUGUGGGCAAGACUAGGACGAGAGUUCUGUCUCCCUCUUUUAUGGCAUGGAUGGACCUCAUUGGGAUGUUCUUUUUCUCCUGCUGAAAACUUCUGCCAGCACCAGGGCAUAGACAGUCGUCUGCAUGACUGUCAGUGCUGUGAUGGAUUGGAGCAGGCUGGGAAGGCAGCAAGAGGGUGGGGAACAAGGAUGGCAAGAAUGUUCUCCAACACCGUUACCACCCGGAGCUUCUAGUUACUCUUCUGUCCCAAAAGGGAGGACACUGAACCUAUGUUCUCGGGAAAAGAAAUUUAGGUGUGCACGUGAAGAUAAAUGAAUGAACGAAGGCUGGAAAAAUAUGGAUCGUGCAUUUAUGCUGCUACUCCUUAAAGCGUAAUGCCAUUAUCCAAGAAAAGGCUGUAUCCUACAAGGACUUGAGAAUGGUGUUACCAUUAAGUGAGCAG